rnacentral:tRNA from 1 species
GCCGGCGUGGCUCAGUGGUAGAGCGAGGGUCUCAUAAUCCCUAGGUCGUGGGUUCGAUUCCCGCCGCCGGCACCA